rnacentral:rRNA from 1 species
GAUGAAUGAUGGCGGCGUGCCUAAUACAUGCAAGUCGAGCGAACAGACGAGGAGCUUGCUCCUCUGACGUUAGCGGCGGACGGGUGAGUAACACGUGGAUAACCUACCUAUAAGACUGGGAUAACUUCGGGAAACCGGAGCUAAUACCGGAUAAUAUAUUGAACCGCAUGGUUCAAUAGUGAAAGACGGUUUUGCUGUCACUUAUAGAUGGAUCCGCGCCGCAUUAGCUAGUUGGUAAGGUAACGGCUUACCAAGGCAACGAUGCGUAGCCGACCUGAGAGGGUGAUCGGCCACACUGGAACUGAGACACGGUCCAGACUCCUACGGGAGGCAGCAGUAGGGAAUCUUCCGCAAUGGGCGAAAGCCUGACGGAGCAACGCCGCGUGAGUGAUGAAGGUCUUCGGAUCGUAAAACUCUGUUAUUAGGGAAGAACAAAUGUGUAAGUAACUAUGCACGUCUUGACGGUACCUAAUCAGAAAGCCACGGCUAACUACGUG